AACAGGCUGUGUAAUGGGGGAAGCCCAUGGCCUAAAAUAAGACACAGGCACACAUGAAGCAGGCUGUCCACCAUCUUGCCUGUUUGAUAUCUUUUCUUUUGGUUUAGAUGUAUUUUGCAAAUGUUUACAUUCAAAGCACGCCUAAUACAUUUUGCAGUUAGUACAAAAGAAAGACCAAAUGGUGCAGCUGCACUGAAAACAUUUAUUUGCUGAAAUGUUCUUCAUCUUUUCUCACUUUUACAUUUGUCUCCUCCGCUGUCAUUGAACAGGAACUGCCAAACCUGCACUGGAGCGUUCCACUGGUCUAAGUAGAGGGAUGCACAGAGGAGGAGACCAAGUGUGGUGGAGUAGGGGGGUGUUUUGUUUCAUUUGAGGGUUUUUGUCAUUGAAACCGUUGUUUUUGAUUAAAACAUAUUUAAAAAUUGAAUUAAUAGCAUGUAUAAUUGAUAAUAUCCUGAAUUUGUAUAUUGCAGCCCUUGUGAACAAUUUGUAUUAGAUAACUGAUUUUGUGUCUUGAGUAGGUAGAGCCCACCUGUAUAAAAGGCAGAAGGGAGGGGUAAAAGUGGACUGAUUGAAAGAGGGAAGCGCAGCUGCAGCUGCAGCCCACAGCUCCUGCCCUGGGCUCUUUGUUUUUUCCUUUAAGUUUUCUGCCCUAUUUCCCAUUUCCUUUUGUGUACUCUACAAUCUUUGAGGAAAAAAUUAUUUUAUUUAGGAUUUUUCCCAUUUUUUGCUUCUGUCUUGGCCAACAAUUUUUCACUACAAAUAUCUGCACUGGAUCCACUGCUGUAAAUGAAAUCCACUUGGACUGCGAUUCCUUAUCCACGUGUUGGCUUCUCAGCCAAUCAUCACAGACUGCCACUGAGAUUGCAGUUUGAAAAUGAGGAUUCCAUCACCCUUGUGAGAUUAAUUCCCAGUGGUGCAGGGUGUCCAUGGAGCAGAAAGCUCCAGAAGAACAUCCAAUUCAGCGGACAUGUAGUGUAGCUGGGAGGAAGCAUCGCACCACCAGAGACGGGAAGAUAACCAGCUGGAGGGGUUGCACAAUGGAGCGACCACGGGAGGAGAGCAACUGGAUCGGCAGCCAACGGAGCAACAUGCGAGCCACAACACAGCUGCACGGAGCUCGCCGACCCAAAUGGACGAAGAAAGAAGGUCUAUGGCCGCACGGACAAGUCGGGAGGAUAAGCAACCCUGUGCCGUGACACAGACUGUAGACUGCUGCCCAAAUGUGUCCCUUUGGAGGCCAGUUGAACCCGCGAUGACAGAGCCAUAGGGAUGGUCAAUUCAACAAACAGCUCAGGACAAACUUCCAGUGGACAAUUAGCAGCAAAGUUUGCAGACACUUAAGUACCCAGUUACCCUUUUUGUCUUUUAAAGGAUCUUUUGAAGAGACUUCACUUUUAAACGGACUUUCUAUUGUUGAAUUAUAUAUUAACUUGUCUUUUAAAAAGCUUAACGUGUUACUUAGUGCUUGAAUAAGAAUUGUGGCAGUUACUAAAUUGGUUUCAUCAUUGUUUUAUUUCAAUUCAUUGUUAAGGAGUUUUAGUCUUCCCCUUUUACUCCUUGGUCCGAGCACAGUAAAUUUCACGUUGCCAAUUUCUCAUCUCAGAGAAAUUAUUUCUGAAAACAUCAGCCAUUGAGGACCAUAUAAAGGAGUAAUGGGUGGCAACAAGCCAGGCACUGCC